ACGGACCUGAUAUUAGGCAAGAUUACCCGCU
rnacentral:rRNA from 2 species